GACGACCUCUGGCGGCGUGCUUAACACAUGCAAGUCGAACGGAAAGGCCCUGCUUUUGUGGGGUGCUCGAGUGGCGAACGGGUGAGUAACACGUGAGUAACCUGCCCUUGACUUUGGGAUAACUUCAGGAAACUGGGGCUAAUACCGGAUAGGAGCUCCUGCUGCAUGGUGGGGGUUGGAAAGUUUCGGCGGUUGGGGAUGGACUCGCGGCUUAUCAGCUUGUUGGUGGGGUAGUGGCUUACCAAGGCUUUGACGGGUAGCCGGCCUGAGAGGGUGACCGGCCACAUUGGGACUGAGAUACGGCCCAGACUCCUACGGGAGGCAGCAGUGGGGAAUAUUGCACAAUGGGCGGAAGCCUGAUGCAGCAACGCCGCGUGCGGGAUGACGGCCUUCGGGUUGUAAACCGCUUUCGCCUGUGACGAAGCGUGAGUGACGGUAAUGGGUAAAGAAGCACCGGCUAACUACGUGCCAGCAGCCGCGGUGAUACGUAGGGUGCGAGCGUUGUCCGGAUUUAUUGGGCGUAAAGGGCUCGUAGGUGGUUGAUCGCGUCGGAAGUGUAAUCUUGGGGCUUAACCCUGAGCGUGCUUUCGAUACGGGUUGACUUGAGGAAGGUAGGGGAAGAAGGGAAUUCCUGGUGGAGCGGGUGGAAUGCGCAGAUAUCAGGAGGAACACCAGUGGCGAAGGCGGUUCUCUGGGCCUUUCCUGACGCUGAGGAGCGAAAGCGUGGGGAGCGAACAGGCUUAGAUACCCUGGUAGUCCACGCUGUAAACGGUGGGUACUAGGUGUGGGGUCCAUUCCACGGGUUCCGUGCCGUAGCUAACGCUUUAAGUACCCCGCCUGGGGAGUACGGCCGCAAGGCUAAAACUCAAAGGAAUUGACGGGGCCCCGCACAAGCGGCGGAGCAUGCGGAUUAAUUCGAUGCAACGCGUAGAACCUUACCUGGGUUUGACAUGGAUCGGGAGUGCUCAGAGAUGGGUGUGCCUCUUUUGGGGUCGGUUCACAGGUGGUGCAUGCCUGUCGUCAGCUCGUGUCGUGAGAUGUUGGGUUAAGUCCCGCAACGAGCGCAACCCUUGUUCACUGUUGCCAGCACGUUAUGGUGGGGACUCAGUGGAGACCGCCGGGGUCAACUCGGAGGAAGGUGGGGAUGACGUCAAGUCCUCAUGCCCCUUAUGUCCAGGGCUUCACGCAUGCUACAAUGGCUGGUACAGAGAGUGGCGAGCCUGUGAGGGUGAGCGAAUCUCGGAAAGCCGGUCUCAGUUCGGAUUGGGGUCUGCAACUCGACCUCAUGAAGUCGGAGUCGCUAGUAAUCGCAGAAAGGCAACGCUGCGGUGAAUACGUUCCCGGGGCU
rnacentral:rRNA from 1 species